rnacentral:rRNA from 1 species
UACUUAGGGUGCAAGCGUUAAUCGGAAUUACUGGGCGUAAAGCGUGCGCAGGCGGUUUUGUAAGUCUGUCGUGAAAGCCCCGGGCUCAAGCUGGGAAUUGCGAUGGAGACUGCAAGGCUUGAAUCUGGCAGAGGGGGGUAGAAUUCCACGUGUAGCAGUGAAAUGCGUAGAGAUGUGGAGGAACACCGAUGGCGAAGGCAGCCCCCUGGGUCAAGAUUGACGCUCAUGCACGAAAGCGUGGGGAGCAAACAGG